UUUGCACACUUUAAAUUUUGUAUACAUUCUCAUUAAAUUUAAACCCUAACUUCACCCUCAUUCACUCUGAACUCUCUGAAUUUAUUCCUCCAUUUCCCCAUUGCCGGCCGUGAUCGCAGAUCCGAGCCAAAUCACCUCCGACCAGUGCUAAAUAAACAUAAUGUCACUAUGGCGAUUUGAAGUCAAACUCGAUACUCCUGAGAAGUUUUCAAAAGUGAGAGAAUGAAUAGAAAGGUGCAAGAAAUAUGGAACAAGAAUGAUGUUACAGAUUGUGUGUUAAGUCUUCAUCGGGGUACUAAGAGGAAGGUGUACCGUGUCCACUUCAGACAUGUGUUUACGGGUCCAGGUAAGUUCGAAACAUAUUUAAGAAAGGGAUGGAAUGAGUUCGUUACCGCAAACAAUUUAAGAAUGCAAGACUGCAUCCUAUUAACCUUAGAAGACCAUAACAAAGUGGUGUAUAUGGUUAGGAUAUGGCGUGACAAUAAAGAAAUAACUAUUGUGGACUCUUUUGUACUCAUAGACAAUGAUGGUUCAAUAAGUGACAGUGACAUCAUCUUAACUGAGUAUGUGCCCAUGGAGGUUUUUUUUAACCACCUUCUUUUGAAUUCACCUUCUCCAAGGGAUAUAUGGACAAAACUAAAAUAAACAUUCCGGUGUCCUUUGCCCGUGCACAUUUCCAAUAACUUGAAGACCAGACAAAAGUUGAAUUGCAGGUGAGCAAGUGCUGGAAAGCAACAAUGCGUAUUAGGUUUGAUAUCAACAACAAGAUUAUUACUUGCGACAUCAAGAAAGGAUUGCCCGAAUUUAUUAAGGGUGAAGGGGUCGUACAAGAUGAAAAGGCUUUGGUUUAAGCUGGAAGGUAUAGAUCCUCCAUCAUUUAGCCUUACAUUCACUUGAUCCUUCGUAGUUCACAAGAUGGUUUUUGUAUGUAUUUUGGCUAUUACUUACCUAGUAGCAAGUCUAUGACUCUCAAUGGUUGAUUGGGUGCUGUAUUUUGGAUAUAACUUAACUAGUAGCAAGUCUAGGACAGUUUGAUAAUGAUCCGUUGCAAAUAUUAUUAAUAUUAGGGAGUUUGAUAUUGUAAAGUAUUGCACUACUUGGUUGGAUGCUCCUGUAUUUGCAUUUUGAGACAUGAUCAGAAUUUUUGAAUA